rnacentral:RNase_P_RNA from 2 species
CAAGUAAGCCAGAUAGUCGCUGCCAGGUUAUGCCUGGGAGAGGAAAGUCCGAGCUUCAUAGGGCAGGGUGCUGGGUAACUCCCAGUGGAGGCAACUCUAAGGAAAGUGCAACAGAGAUAUACCGCCAGUUUACUGGUAAGGGUGGAAAGGCGAGGUAAGAGCUCACCAGCGUAUGGGUGAUCAUACGGCUAUGUAAACCCCAUCUGAAGCAAGAUCGAAUAGGGAGACAUAUGAGGCGGCCCGUCUCGUCUUCGGGUGUAUCGCUUGAGCCUAUUGGUAACAAUAGGCCUAGAUAGAUGACUAUCAAAUACAGAACUCGGCUUAUAGACUUACUUAUACC